rnacentral:rRNA from 1 species
AUUGAACGCUGGCGGCAGGCCUAACACAUGCAAGUCGAGCGGAUGAAGGGAGCUUGCUCCUGGAUUCAGCGGCGGACGGGUGAGUAAUGCCUAGGAAUCUGCCUGGUAGUGGGGGAUAACGUCCGGAAACGGGCGCUAAUACCGCAUACGUCCUGAGGGAGAAAGUGGGGGAUCUUCGGACCUCACGCUAUCAGAUGAGCCUAGGUCGGAUUAGCUAGUUGGUGGGGUAAAGGCCUACCAAGGCGACGAUCCGUAACUGGUCUGAGAGGAUGAUCAGUCACACUGGAACUGAGACACGGUCCAGACCCCUACGGGAGGCAGCAGUGGGGAAUAUUGGACAAUGGGCGAAAGCCUGAUCCAGCCAUGCCGCGUGUGUGAAGAAGGUCUUCGGAUUGUAAAGCACUUUAAGUUGGGAGGAAGGGCAGUAAGUUAAUACCUUGCCGUUUUGACGUUACCAACAGAAUAAGCACCGGCUAACUUCGUG